GGGGUUGAGGCUCAGAGGUAGAGCGCUUGCCUUGCAUGCCAGAGGCCCUGGGUUUGGUCCCCAGCACCACA
rnacentral:tRNA from 1 species